rnacentral:lncRNA from 1 species
AAACAUCUUUAGUAUUUUUAUUCAUUUUUUUAAUGUUUUUACUGACACAUUUGCCAACUGUUCUAAGUAACAUAACCUUUUUUUUUUCUUCUUUCUUUGCUGUUACACACUCAUUUUACUCAGUGCCAACUAACCUCUUUCAUUUCUUUUUUAGAAUAAGAAUCCUCGACUAUAUACACCUAACCUCCACCAUUCCUCAUCAAC